rnacentral:lncRNA from 1 species
GUUUUGAAUCGCUUGUAGGGACAUCCAGAUGGAGAUGCCCAUUUUGGAGCUAUAAAUACUUCUCUGAAGCCUGGAAAGACAUGAAAUCCAAGACGGAGUGAUUGGAAAUGUUGAAUAUGGUUGAAAUCACAAAAGUGAAUGAAAUAGCCCACAGUCAAGGAAGGCACCACAGGUCAACUCAGUUUUUAAGCUGGCAAUGUCAGAGGACACAGUGAUGCAGACUAAGCCAAUGCAGUGCCAGGUGAGGGAGAUGUCAGGGAAGCUAUCUCAGGGUUCAAUUAACGUUGUCAAAUACUACACACACACACACACACACACACACACACACACACACACACACACACACAGGUUAACGAGGAGUGUGGCUUCAUACAAAGCCACAUAUUUGAUCUUAAGCCAAAACUGGACUAUUCACAGCCAUAUAGUCGAUUUCUGCUUUUUGCUUUGUUUUGUUUUUUUAAAUGAGAUGCCAAUGUGCCCCACUCGCGUUCUCCUUCAUCGCCCUUCCUUUUCCUCCCUUCCUCCAUGAAGAAUGCAAUUCUCCUUCACAUUUCAAUGUUUUGGGACUUGCCUCCCACUCCUCUCCCUUCCCAAGGCUUCCUGUCUGUCUCCAUGGAAACCUUCGCUUAAUUAACCCAACGCAGGGAGAGGGCAUCCCUGGCCCAAAUGAAAGCCGCCAGAGCAGCUGCAGCAAAAGCUGGAGCACAGCGCGAGAAGGGGGCUAGAGGGAGGCAGGCCGCGAGGUGGGCUGUGACCCAGGAAUCGUGGGCAGUUUGGGCCGCCGCACCCAGAGCAGUGCCAGCACCUCCCAGGCCAGUUGCCCGGGCACCGAAACUUGCAAAGCGCAGGCGCCGCGUGGCUGCAGGUCCGGGUCCGGGUCCAUAUGGGGGUCAGGACGGGUUGCAGAAGUGCCGCGGCACCUGCGACUUCUCAGCCUUGCAUCCCCUGCACUUUGACUUCCAGAUGGAGAAAUUAAUUAUUCUACUGCUCUGGUUACAAUAUGUUGUUAAGGUAAGACAUUUUUGAGUGCACCCUCUUUGGAAUAAUUAGCUAAUGGGCAAGAUGUGAUUGCAUUGAAUCUAUCAUUCUGGAAAAUGAGGAGUAUAUUGAAGGGACAUAAUACUAAAUAUCAGGUUUAGUACCUACGAAUAAACAUUUUCAUUGCUAGGUGUCACUCGCAUAUGUAUUUUUAUUGCUUAAAAAUUGUCUUGGGGAUGAUCAUGGAGAUAAGUCAGAAUUUGGGAAGAAGACAGGGUAUAAUAAGGCAUUUCAGAGUUGUUUUUGGUAGGAAUUUUGAUACAUAUAUUCUUUUGAAAGUUGAAGUGCUUUUUGUCGUUGAGGGAACAUCAAGGGUCUCUGAUCUUGAGGUCUGUCUUACGUUGCUAAUAUUUUAA